rnacentral:rRNA from 1 species
AUUGAACGCUGGCGGCAUGCCUUACACAUGCCAGUCGAACGGCAGCACGGGUGCUUGCACCUGGUGGCGAGUGGCGAACGGGUGAGUAAUACAUCGGAACAUGUCCUGUAGUGGGGGAUAGCCCGGCGAAAGCCGGAUUAAUACCGCAUACGAUCUAUGGAUGAAAGCGGGGGACCUUCGGGCCUCGCGCUAUAGGGUUGGCCGAUGGCUGAUUAGCUAGUUGGUGGGGUAAAGGCCUACCAAGGCGACGAUCAGUAGCUGGUCUGAGAGGACGACCAGCCACACUGGGACUGAGACACGGCCCAGACUCCUACGGGAGGCAGCAGUGGGGAAUUUUGGACAAUGGGCGAAAGCCUGAUCCAGCAAUGCCGCGUGUGUGAAGAAGGCCUUCGGGUUGUAAAGCACUUUUGUCCGGAAAGAAAUCCUUGGCCCUAAUACGGUCGGGGGAUGACGGUACCGGAAGAAUAAGCACCGGCUAACUACGUG